rnacentral:misc_RNA from 1 species
CCAAUAGCGUAUAUUAAAGUUGUUGCAGUUAAAAAGCUCGUAGUUGAAUUUCGGGAUUGACGUGACGGUCAUGCCUUAAGGGGUAUGAACUGUUGCUGUUGAUUUCUCACCUUCUGGAGAAACUUGAUGUCCUUUAUUGGGUGUCUUGCGGAUCCAGGACCUUUACCUUGAAAAAAUUAGAGUGUUUAAAGCAGGCAUUUUUGCUCGAAUACAUUAGCAUGGAAUAAUAGAAUAGGAAGGCAUGGUUCUAUUUUGUUGGUUUCUAGGAUAACCGUAAUGAUUAAUAGGGAUAGUUGGGGGCAUUAGUAUUCAAUUGUCAGAGGUGAAAUUCUUGGAUUUAUUGAAGACUAACUACUGCGAAAGCAUUUGCCAAGGAUGUUUUCAUUAAUCAAGAACGAAAGUUAGGGGAUCGAAGACGAUCAGAUACCGUCGUAGUCUUAACCAUAAACUAUGCCGACUAGGAAUCAGACGAUGUUAAUUUUUUAAUGACUCGUUUGGCACCUUACG